rnacentral:rRNA from 1 species
GUGCUUAACACAUGCAAGUCGAACGGAAAGGCCCUGCUUUUGUGGGGUGCUCGAGUGGCGAACGGGUGAGUAACACGUGAGUAACCUGCCCUUGACUUUGGGAUAACUUCAGGAAACUGGGGCUAAUACCGGAUAGGAGCUCCUGCUGCAUGGUGGGGGUUGGAAAGUUUCGGCGGUUGGGGAUGGACUCGCGGCUUAUCAGCUUGUUGGUGGGGUAGUGGCUUACCAAGGCUUUGACGGGUAGCCGGCCUGAGAGGGUGACCGGCCACAUUGGGACUGAGAUACGGCCCAGACUCCUACGGGAGGCAGCAGUGGGGAAUAUUGCACAAUGGGCGGAAGCCUGAUGCAGCAACGCCGCGUGCGGGAUGACGGCCUUCGGGUUGUAAACCGCUUUCGCCUGUGACGAAGCGUGAGUGACGGUAAUGGGUAAAGAAGCACCGGCUAACUACGUGCCAGCAGCCGCGGUGAUACGUAGGGUGCGAGCGUUGUCCGGAUUUAUUGGGCGUAAAGGGCUCGUAGGUGGUUGAUCGCGUCGGAAGUGUAAUCUUGGGGCUUAACCCUGACCGCGCUUUCGAUACGGGUUGACUUGAGGAAGGUAGGGGAGAAUGGAAUUCCUGGUGGAGCGGUGGAAUGCGCAGAUAUCAGGAGGAACACCAGUGGCGAAGGCGGUUCUCUGGGCCUUUCCUGACGCUGAGGAGCGAAAGCGUGGGGAGCGAACAGGCUUAGAUACCCUGGUAGUCCACGCUGUAAACGGUGGGUACUAGGUGUGGGGUCCAUUCCACGGGUUCCGUGCCGUAGCUAACGCUUUAAGUACCCCGCCUGGGGAGUACGGCCGCAAGGCUAAAACUCAAAGGAAUUGACGGGGCCCCGCACAAGCGGCGGAGCAUGCGGAUUAAUUCGAUGCAACGCGUAGAACCUUACCUGGGUUUGACAUGGAUCGGGAGUGCUCAGAGAUGGGUGUGCCUCUUUUGGGGUCGGUUCACAGGUGGUGCAUGGCUGUCGUCAGCUCGUGUCGUGAGAUGUUGGGUUAAGUCCCGCAACGAGCGCAACCCUUGUUCACUGUUGCCAGCACGUUAUGGUGGGGACUCAGUGGAGACCGCCGGGGUCAACUCGGAGGAAGGUGGGGAUGACGUCAAGUCAUCAUGCCCCUUAUGUCCAGGGCUUCACGCAUGCUACAAUGGCUGGUACAGAGAGUGGCGAGCCUGUGAGGGUGAGCGAAUCUCGGAAAGCCGGUCUCAGUUCGGAUUGGGGUCUGCAACUCGACCUCAUGAAGUCGGAGUCGCUAGUAAUCGCAGAUCAGCAACGCUGCGGUGAAUACGUUCCCGGGGCUUGUACACACCGCCCGUCAAGUCAUGAAAGUUGGUAACACCCGAAGCCGGUGGCCUAACCGUUGUGGGGGAGCCGUCGAAGGUGGGACUGGUGAUUAGG